GCAAAAACCACCCGGGGAAGAGGAUCUCAGGUCUCCGACCUUUCUGCACUGGAAAGGCGGCACGGCGCAACGUGCUCCGCUCUGCUCGAAAUCCCAACGCCACAAGGUUUUCGGGUUAAGGAUGGACACCCCGAAUGCUCUCCACCGAGCUCCACCGGACUUGGGUACCCCGUGGCGUCCCCGUCCGCACUCCCGCCGUCCCAGUCCGAGCGCCACUGCUCUGAGAGGGGCCAGUGAGGGUCACUUACCGUCACUCUCCGCCCUGACGAGCAGGGACAUGCCCUUCAGCCUCUCCACGUAGCCGGAAGACACAUGGCCAGUACCCCGGUCGUCCCACUGCCGGUCCUCGUUGAGCGUGUAGACCUUCACCCGCCGUCGGGUGUCGGUCAUCGUGCCGGUCGGGGGCCCCGCCCGAGUGGCCCAGGGACAGUGUCCAGAAAAGGCGGGCGGCCGCAAACGGGGAACUCCGGGACCUCAGUGCCACCGCUGGCCGCCGCGGAGCUGCGCCGCCGCUCGCAUGGCCCGCUCCCGGGUCCGAGCCCCGGGCCGCCGCCUUCUCUCGUCUCCUUCUCCCCGGCGCUAUUGUCCAGGCCGAGCAAGCGCGGCCGCCCAGCAGCCCCGACAGGGAACGCGCAGCACUACGCAGCCUACCGGCCCGCCGUUACGAGGUGCGGCUCGGUUCACAGCCCCGCUCCGGCCUCCACCAUGACCUCCGCAGAGCCGCUUUCCCGCGCCGCCGCCUCCUCAGGCCGCCGCCGCCAUGUUUUCCUCCCUUGUAUCUGGCCCAGCCGCUGCAGCCGGAAGCCCCGCUCCGCUCCUCCCGCUUAAAGCAUCCGAAGCCGGUGAGGUAGCACUUCCCGGGAGACUCCGAACGCCUCUGGCCACCCGAGAACCCCUGGCUCUUCUGAGAAGCCGCCUUCCCUACUCCGCCGCCUCUUCCGUCUUCCUCACAGAGCCAAAGCCGCCGCCAUCUUGGCUCGCCCCUCAAAAGCGGCGCGCGGGGCCACCUAGGCAGUAGCGGCAGGGGCGGCCCGCAAGCCCCACCACUUAAAGCGACAAGACGGGAGCCGGCAGCUUCGCUCCGGCCGAGGCCUUGCACCGAGGCGGGCGCGGAGCUGCGGGGGUGGCGGGAGCGGAGGAGGCGGGACGCGAGUCGCGCCGGUGACGGACCGGGACUCCCUCGCGCUGCCCUGCGCGUACUGUCGUGCAAGCGCGGGCUGCGUGUGCGUCCGUCGCACUUUGAAUUCGUCAUCACCUCGGCUCCGGGCGGGGAAGGGGUGUGGAGUCUGUUGGCGGCUUCGGGAGCCAGACUGGACUCUGAUCCCGGAGCUCGUCCUUUCCCGUGCGAGCCUUCUCCGGACGCUUUAGGGAGGACCUUUGCAGUCGGCCCUGGGGGCGCGGGCGGCUGGCGUCCUCCUCGUCCUCCCCCCGCCCUCCUCCUCCUCCUCCUCCUCUUCCCUUGGCCUGCAAUAGAGAAGUUUCUGAGAGAGGACCGUUUGGACCGCGAGGUUGGCGGGAUGCAGUGAGGCACGCAAUGGCCGGUAAAUGACACAACCUUGGGGUUCGCCGUGUGAUAAGGUAUCCUGUAACUACUCUUUGUACCGCUGGGAUCUACCCUGCUUCACUGGAGGACAUGCAGCCUUUUCUCUUAGCAACUGCAUGAAUAAACAUUCAAGAGAACUUGUUUGUUUGGUUUAGUUUUUUGAGACAAGGUUUCUCUGUAUAGCCCUGGCUGCCCUGGAACUCACUCUGUAGACCAGGCUGGCCUCAAACUCAGAAAUCCACCUGCCUCUGCCUNNNNNNNNNNNNNAUUAAAGGCGUGGGCCACCACGCCCGGUGAAUGAGGAAAGGCACUUAAACUGCUAAACCCAACCAAGUGAAUUUGAUCCUUGAAACCCACAUGAUGGAAGGAGAGAACCAAUCCCCUUACCUUGUUCUCUGACAGCUACACACCCCUCUCCCACAGAAAUAAAAUGUU
ensembl:lincRNA D130020L05Rik RIKEN cDNA D130020L05 gene